UUAUAUUAAUUCAUCUUAUUACUUAGUAUCCAAAACUCUUUCAACACUUCACAAGAAGUUAAUUUUGGGCCUUUUCUUUCCAGCAGUAUCCAGGCCAAUUCAUUACUUCGUGCACCAUUUUCCCUUCCUUACCAAUUCAACCCGUCCAAGCCCAAUUAGUUUGACCCGACCCGACUUUAGCCCCCUUUCCCUUUCAACAAAAGACGUAGAACAUAUAGUAACCAGACAAAAACAACAAUUCCCAGCGGCGCGCGUCGAAUCAAUGAACCAGCGCGCACAAUAGUACAUCAUCUCCUUUUGUCUUCUUCCUCCCAUCACUUUCACGCGUCUUCACGAGACGACAUUGAAGAACGAUGAUUCUUAACGGCGUCACCUCCAACGUUCUCCUACACGACGUGAACACGGAAUAUAUGAAGAGUAGAAGACAACUUGUCCCUUUAUCAUUUCCUUCUCCGUCCCUUUCCAUGUAGUACGACUUUCAGCAGCUCCCAGAGCACGCUAAUCGUCCUUGGUGGUGUGAGAUUGUUCCACGUCAACACCAAGGACGAUGGAGAUAAUCAAAGCCAUCGAUGCAACAUUUCCUCUUUCAAAAUGGGGUAGAAUUUCAGGGAAAAAGCAAGUCUCCCUAUUUGGUGAAAAAGUUUUGAAUUUUGAAAUUUUAGGGAUGUGAAUUCUCGUGCUUACCCCUGCCCUGUCCCGUUCUCCCCCUCUAUAUAAGUUGUUUCUCUUUUGUUUAGAGGGGAGAGAGAGGUUUUUUUCUUAAAGUAAUAUCUUGAGUCAAAAAUACAUAUUGGAGAAUUACUGAAAAUAUAGAAAGAAAAUAGACACAAGAUACAGAGCAUAUGUUGAAAAAACAUACUCAAAUUUUAAUUCCAAUAGAACAAAAAAUCAUGUGAGAAUCUUGGUUACCAUCUUGAAAACUAAUCUUCCACUCAUGUUCAAGUUUCAUGGUCGUGGAAUCGCUUUUGACUCGCUGCUGUUCUUGUUCGCUGCCCUAGAAAGACAAGGCAUCAGAUCCAUGCAUACCAUUUUUAGCAAGAAUGGGAUUGAAGGGGGCAAGAAUAUCAGCAAAGGGAGCAAGAAUUUCAGAAAAAAGAGCAAUUAUUUCAGCAAAAGGAGCAAGAGUACCAGUUCUAAGAGUUAGAAAGUCAGAGGGUUUUAGCUGUGACGUCACAAGAGUUAGCCGAUGCAAGGACUUGUAUGAUGUAUUUGGAUGCAAUCGUGAACGAGCAUAUGAACACUUUGCAAGUCGUAAUACCAGCUUCCAAAGCUGUGUUCGCUGAGCCGUACGUGUUCACAAGCAAGUGCAUCAUCCACGAUGAAGUAGAGAAGGCCAGAAGAGGAGCCAAGCCAUCAUUCACAUCAUAUCCCCCUCCCUGAAAUGUACCCCGUUUGAUUGAAAUUAUGUAAUAAAUGCUAUGAUUUUAGUGAUGUCUAUUUUGGGGAUACAUCUAUUUGUUAAAUGACACAAUACGUCCUUCA